CUACGGGGUGCAGCAGUGAGGAAUAUUGCACAAUGGAGGAAACUCUGAUGCAGCGACGCCGCGUGGAGGAUGACACUUUUCGGAGCGUAAACUCCUUUUAUAUAGGAAGAAGAUGACGGUACUAUAUGAAUAAGCGCCGGCUAACUCCGUGCCAGCAGCCGCGGUAAUACGGAGGGCGCAAGCGUUACUCGGAAUCACUGGGCGUAAAGAGCGUGUAGGCGGAUUAAAAAGUCAGAAGUGAAAUCCUAUAGCUUAACUAUAGAACUGCUUCUGAAACUCUUAAUCUAGAAUAUGGGAGAGGUAGAUGGAAUUUCUGGUGUAGGGGUAAAAUCCGUAGAGAUCAGAAGGAAUACCGAUUGCGAAGGCGAUCUGCUGGAACAUUACUGACGCUAAGGCGUGAAAGCGUGGGGAGCAAACAGGAUUAGAUACCCUCGUAGUC
rnacentral:rRNA from 1 species